ACUCCCAAAACCUGAAAAGGACAGGACAGACUGGAUUCAUUUUUUGAAGGGCAGAGUCCCGGCUACAGUUAGCUCAUUGUAUGUGUUUGAUACUUCACGUCUGGAUUUGCAUCUUUGUUGAAGCUUAUACAUGCAAUUCUGUACGAAAAGCCACCAAAGGGGGAUGUAAUUGCUGCCUUAGUUCCCGCUUCGAUAAUGAGGCGGUCUGAGUCAGAUGUAUAGGCAGCCCCAGGUAAAUAAAAUAUUAAACUUGAAGUACAACAAUUUAAACACAACACAUGAAAGAUUUGGGUAGUGACCUUUUAAUGAACACCUCACAGGUUACAGAAUUUAUAGAAUGUAUAGAACAUAAUUGAAAGGGAACUCCGCCCAUAUCCCCAGCACCACUAGACAAAGCAUCUGUAUGCUAUGAAGCGGUCAGUCGUUACAGGUUUAGAUAUAAGACCUCCUUUGGUCAAUAUUGGCUUCAUUAACAUUGGUCUUUCUACUAUGCAAACAUGCCAUGAUUUUCUCCCCACAGCUGAGCGUCGAAUGAACUUCCUUGCUUCUAAGGGAAACACAUCCUGGCUAGUGGACAUGGGACAUGCCUUGUUCUCUGGAUACAUCCUGUCUACAAUUGCAAUCACCUGACCAUGUAGCGACCGCAUGGCCACCUGGUUCAGGGCUUGGGCCGCGUAAUCAAGUUACGACAUGGAUAACAGCACGGAGCUCUGGAACAAUAGCAAAACCAUGGACUUUGACAACAACAACAUUUAACAAACUCAUGAGGCAAAGGAACGUUUGAAGGAGGUCAUGCUCACGGGUGCCUGGAGGUGGAGGUGGAGGUUAUUUUCCACAGAUCAAAUCCGUGGACUCUGGGCAGUCAACACGAAUGGAGCAGUGUCUGACGGAGGAGGUGAAGGAAGUGGCAGAGAUUACAGCGAAGGGAGGAGUGAAGGCAGAGGGGUGUGUCUCGGUUGAGCAAUGGGGGACAAUAGAAAUCCCUGCAAAUUAGACGUUCCCCAGCCCUCAAUGGUUUAUCAGUUACUUGAGUCCAUAUAAAAUGGUGCUUUCUCAUUUUUGCAGUAGUCCUACAUAUAUAGUAGAAACUGUAAUCCUAUAACUAUCCAAUAUUUCUUUUUAUGAAAUCUAUUAUAUUGGAAACGUCUGGCCAUAAAAUAAUACAGGGUUUGUUGUUGUCAAAGUAUUUAACAUCACUGUUGUACAAAAAUAUCUUAUAGCUUAUAUUUAAAAAUCCUCAUGCAUAGCUUCAUUACAUCAUUCUGCAUCAAGCAACAAGCAACUUCAUAAAUAAAGGUAUUUGAAUAUAA